UCCCCCACAAUUCCUAAAACCUUAUUUUAUUUUCCCUCUCUUUCCUUCUCCCUCUCCUCGAUCUCUUCCUUUGGCUCUCUCCCGCUCGUGCCCGGUGCCCGCGACAGCAGCAACAACAACAUCUCGACCACCGACGCUAGCGCCUCGCCUUCCCAGUCAUCCCGCCUCUCCGCACCCCGAUCUUCACGGCAUGCCGGAGGAGAUUUCUAAUUGCUGGUUGAAUUGCGAUUGUGGCCCCUUGCAUUACCUAUUCAAGGUACGUACAUGUCUAAGAUUGCGGUGACGGUGGUGGAGAGGCGACUGGUUCUGCUCGGAAGAGGGUGGUGGAGAAGGCUUCGAGAGAUGUUAUGGAGGAAGAUGAGUGCGGGAGAGGAGAAACAUAGCAAAAGAAGUUGAAGGAAAUGUCACUGCAGGCUGAUGAAUUCGAGUUUAGGGGGCAUUCUUCAAUGAGUUAUUCAUGGGUUUAGUAAAAGAUUGUAUGGUUUUAGUUAUAAUUUUCUUACAUUUAGUUAUGAAAUGGUUAUAUUUAGUUAUGAAAUGGUUUUAGUAAAAAAAAUUGGUUCUAUGCUAUUUCUUGUGACUUUUUGUUAAUGCUUUUGGCACAU